GAAGGGUGCAAGCGUUACUCGGAAUCACUGGGCGUAAAGCGUGCGUAGGUGGUUUUUUAAGUCUGUCGUGAAAGCCCUGGGCUCAACCUGGGAACGGCGAUGGAUACUGGAAAGCUAGAGUGCGGUAGAGGGGUGUGGAAUUCCCGGUGUAGCGGUGAAAUGCGUAGAGAUCGGGAGGAACACCAGUGGCGAAGGCGGCACCCUGGACCGACACUGACGCUGAGGCGCGAAAGCUAGGGGAGCAAACGGGAUUAGAUACCCCGGUAGUCCUAGCUGUAAACGAUGAGCGCUGGGUGUGGCGGGUAUUAACCCCUGCUGUGCCGAAGCUAACGCAUUAAGCGCUCCGCCUGGGGAGUACGGUCGCAAGGCUG
rnacentral:rRNA from 1 species